UACGGGGGGGGCAAGCGUUGUUCGGAAUUACUGGGCGUAAAGGGCUCGUAGGCGGCCAACUAAGUCGGAUGUGAAAUCCCCAGGCUCAACCUGGGAACUGCAUCCGAUACUGGAUGGCUUGAAUCCGGGAGAGGGAUGCAGAAUUCCAGGUGUAGCGGUGAAAUGCGUAGAUAUCUGGAGGAAUACCGGUGGCGAAGGCGGCAUCCUGGAUCGGCAUUGACGCUGAGGAGCGAAAGCGUGGGGAGCGAACAGG
rnacentral:rRNA from 1 species